CGCAGAUUACUGUUCCGUUUGAGAAAACGGGUUCAACCCGUCCAGCAUAAAAUAACUCUGUCGCUUAUAUCAAUUUAAUUCAAAGGGCUUUCCACCACAAUUACCUCCACCCCCACUGCCGCUUUUGUUCGCCAACCCGGAAGUAGAUUUACCUCGGUCCUCAGAAGACAUUUUGAGUGAGAAAGAAGUCACGCAGAAACAUAAACCCGCAUGAAUGUUGAAGAGCAUUUUUAAAGUGUAAUUUUUCCCUCCUAAUGUACAAACUACAGCCACAGAGUUACUGUCCUGUCUUUCCUACAGCUGUUUAUAACCUAACGGCUAAUAUUGGCGACUGUGAAUAUAUUUGGUUCAGUGGAAAAGACAGUAGUAGUCUUGUUGUGAAAACAAAUGCUCCUGAAGCCUUGGGGGCUUUCACUAAAUUGUGCUGAAAAACGGUCAGAUGUUUGGCGCCGACAGAGAUGGCCGCCUCGCUUCGCGUUCUUAGGAAACUUUGCCAUAUUAAUUUUUUUACGUAUUAUUUCUUACACUGUUAACCCAGGAACUCUCAAGUCUUAUUACAUACAGCCAGGAGGAACUAUUGGAUAUAAGAGCAACAUCAAUUUACCAACAUUACGACCAGGAAUACGACUUUCCCGAAGCGGAUCCUCUGUUUGGACCACCGAGGACAAUGGAUCGGAUCCCAGCCGGCGACCCAAAACAACGGCGCCGCAGACGGAGCGGUCUUCUGGUCAGGCUCCAUAGACUGGCUCACCGCUCCCGAGUUUACUACUGGCCAAUGUCCAGUCUCUUCACAACAAGGUAGAUAACAUUCGAGCAAGGGUUGUCUUCCAGAGAGACAUCAGAGAUUGUUUUCACGGGAACAUGGCUCACUCAAAUUGUAGUGGGUCUAGGCUGCCGGGUGCGGUGGAUGAGACAUGAACUAGUCUUUCUAAACACUUCACGAUGACAUAUUGUAGGCGUUAUGAAGACCAUGAAGGCUAUGUAAUGAGUUAUCAUUAAGUAUGAUUUACAUACCGUAUGUAUUCAUAUUUAUCUGUUUACCAAGGCCCUUCCUCAAAUGCUCAGUUUGGCCGGGCUGCCAGUGUAACGGAUGUGAAACGGCUAGCUCAGUUAGCGGUGGUGCGCUCUAAAUAGCGUUUCAAUCGGUGACGUCACUUGCUCUGAGACCUUGAAGUAGUAGUUCCCCUUGCGGCUUUUGUGGAGCGAUGUGUAAUGAUGCUUCGUGGGUGACUGUUGUUGAUGUGUGCAGAGGGUCCCUGGUUCGCGCCCGGGUAAGGGCGAGGGCACGGUCUAAAGUUAUACUGUUACACCAGCUCUAGGUAGGGUUUCGGUGGUUCCAAAACUUCUUCCAUUGAAGAAUGAUGGAGGACACUGUGUUCUUGGGGACCUUCAAUGCUGUAGAAAUGUUUUGGUACCCUUCUGUAGAUCUGUGCCUCGACACAAUCCUGUCUCGGCGCUCUACAGACAAUUCCUUUGACCUCAUGGCUUGGUUUUUGAUCUGACAUGCACUGUCAACUUAUAUAGUGUGGGCCUUUCCAAAUCAUGUGCAAUCAAUUGAAUUUACCACAGGUGGACUCCAAUCAUGAUCAAUGGAAACAGGAUGCACCUGAGCUCAAUUUUGAGUCUAAUUACAAAGGG
ensembl:lncRNA